UUGUGGGCUAGGUUGGAGGGUCAGCGGUCCUCUGUUGCCAGAAAUCCGCUUCAUGCUGGGACCGAAGCUUUGGGAGCGGUUUAACGCUGCGGGAAAAAGCCAUUGCUGCAUGCGAUGAGCUUUUGUCCUCUUAGGUUUUUUGCUGCUGCGAAACCCGCCAGGCUCGGAAGAGAGCAACGGUAACAACAACAAGGAAUGCUUCGAGGGAAGCGAAAGCAAGCGGCGGCAGUGAAAAAACUUUUUCCGACAGAUUAAAUCCAUUCCAAAGCACGCUCACAU
rnacentral:SRP_RNA from 1 species